AAAACAGAAGUAUCAUACUUUCGGUUUCGGCCUGAAAAUAGGCAGCAGCCCUGUUUUA
rnacentral:tRNA from 1 species